UCAUGCGGUCCUUCCCACUGUCCUCCCCCAUCCAAGACGCCUCCUCACCUUUGCUUGUGCUGUCCUUGCACAGAGGUUCCCCCCAACUCUCCCAGUUGAAACCUGGCCCCGUCACCAAGUGCCACCACCAUCAAACCACUUUUCUUCCGGGGGACAUGGAGGCCAGUGGUCCCCUCCUGUAGCUGUGACAACUGGAAGUGGUUUCAGACAUUGCCGAUGUCCCCCUGCUCCCCGCCCCAGAAGAGCGACUGUCUCGAAUCUACAAUACUCACUGCACUCUGUCUUGACUCAUGAGUCCUUGAAUCUGUGCCCAUCGCAGCAGCUGUGCCGGGGACCUGCACUCAGAUGCCAGGCAGGGAACCUGGUAGAGCAGUGAAAAACUGGCCUCCGUGUGUCAAACUCAGCCCGUGGCUGCCACGCAGGCAUGUGGGCCCACUGUUGCUGGAUUUGAUUUCCUGAGAUAUCGUGAUGUAUGAUCGCCACAUGUUAAAUAAACAUGGUGGCAGCGUAUUCUAUGCAAAACAAACAGACAAAUAAAAGCUGUCUGUGGGGGACUCUGGCCCGUGGGCAGUCUGCAA